rnacentral:lncRNA from 1 species
AUUGUGUCCAAUUUGUAUUGUCUUUCUCAAUGUAGGCUCUUCUUCAACCUUCUUCAUAUGAACUUUGGAGUGUAAUGGCAGUUGUGUUGCCAUCGGAUUUACCUUCUUUGCUAUAGUCUUAUAAUUAAUAUUCAUCAUUCUUUCAAUCUCUAAGCCAUAACUUCCAAUCAACCUUACUUCAAUAGUUAUCUUUAAUAUCUUUUCAUAUAAGCUUCUUA